rnacentral:rRNA from 1 species
UACAGAGGUCUCAAGCGUUGUUCGGAUUCAUUGGGCGUAAAGGGUGCGUAGGUGGCGCCGUAAGUCAGGUGUGAAAUUUCGGAGCUUAACUCCGAAACUGCAUUUGAUACUGCGGUGCUUGAGGACUGGAGAGGAGACUGGAAUUUACGGUGUAGCAGUGAAAUGCGUAGAGAUCGUGAGGAAGACCAGUGGCGAAGGCGGGUCUCUGGACAGUUCCUGACGCUGAGGCGCGAAGGCCAGGGGAGCAAACGGG